rnacentral:rRNA from 1 species
AUGCUGGAGGCCAGGGCGCCCCCGUCCGAGGCCACCAUCACCUUGCUCGCCUACGCCGUCGCUGCAGACGCCGAGGGUGCCUAUGAAGCCUUCAGGCUCGUCUCCUCCAUGCGACAGAAGUAUGGCCUCGUGCCACGCCUCCGGUCCUACAGCCCCGUGCUUGCCGCGUUCCGGCGCGCCGAAGAGGCUAGCAAGGCCUACGCGGUCGAGUAA